ACCUUGACGGUACCUAACCAGAAAGCCACGGCUAACUACGUGCCAGCAGCCGCGGUAAUACGUAGGUGGCAAGCGUUGUCCGGAAUUAUUGGGCGUAAAGCGCGCGCAGGUGGUUCCUUAAGUCUGAUGUGAAAGCCCACGGCUCAACCGUGGAGGGUCAUUGGAAACUGGGGAACUUGAGUGCAGAAGAGGAAAGUGGAAUUCCAAGUGUAGCGGUGAAAUGCGUAGAGAUUUGGAGGAACACCAGUGGCGAAGGCGACUUUCUGGUCUGUAACUGACACUGAGGCGCGAAAGCGUGGGGAGCAAACAGGAUUAGAUACCCUGGUAGUCCACGCCGUAAACGAUGAGUGCUAAGUGUUAGAGGGUUUCCGCCCUU
rnacentral:rRNA from 2 species